UUUUUGGUAAGGCGGUCUUCGCUGGGUUUAGCCGCCAGCAAAUCACCUUGCUCGCCUGAUUUUUUAUUAGCCUCGGGAGUUUACCGUACAAAGCAGAAUGCGAUCGACUCUUAAAAUUUAUUAAGUUUGGUGCCCUCCAAGUCUUUUGGGAGCGCAUUUAUCUGAAUUUUCGGCCGAAGGACAGGCCGAGAAUGGCCAGAGUUGUGGUUUCAGUAUAUUUGGAAGACUCCAGGUAGUCCUUGACUUAUGACUGCAAUUGAGCUGAACAUUUUUGUUGAUUCACCUGGAUGUCUGUUCCCAAUAUGAAUGACUACGAAAAAGUGGAUUACAUAGAGAAAUAAUCUAAUCUGGUUUAAGACUAAACCAGUUUGCUUCUAGGGGAGCUACAAUUUUGUAAGACUUUAAGAGCUGAAUAAUUAGCAUUCUGCAUAAAAUAAGUAGUAAAACCUGCUUAUUCUCAAGAUUACAAUGUAUGACACCAAUAUGGAAGCUAAGGGGAAGUAUUAAGUAUUGAACUGACUGUAUUCAGAAGACAGCAAGAGAAGUGACGAAGGAUUCCAAAGGAAAUACUUACAAGAUUAACAGAGUUGGAAGUGACCUUGUAGGUUAUCUAGUCCAACCCCCUGUCCAAGCAGGAGACCCUACACAAUUUAUGACAAAUGGCAGUUCAGUCUCUUCUCGAAAGCUUCCAGUGAUAAAGCUCCCACAACUUCUGAAGGCAAGCUGUUCCAUUGGUUGAUUGUUCUCACUG